rnacentral:rRNA from 1 species
GUAAUGAAACGUACAUCUGAAGGAGGAUUUAGCAGUAAGCAGGAAAUAGAGCGUCCCGCUGAAAUUGGCCCUGAAGCGCGCACACACCGCCCGUCACUCUCCCCAAAAACAACCACCAGUUAAUUAAAACCUAAUAAUACUAAAGGGGAGGCAAGUCGUAACAUGGUAAGUGUACCGGAAGGUGCACUUGGAAAAAUC